rnacentral:tRNA from 1 species
UCCGGGGUCGUCUAAUUGGCAGGACAUGGGAUUUUGGCUCCCAGAAUCCUGGUUCGAAUCCAGGCCCCGGAACCA